rnacentral:snoRNA from 1 species
AAGACUAUACUUUACAGGAUCAUUUCUGUAGUAGCAUAGUUCUUCCUACUUUCCAAUUUUGGAGAGACCAACCCCACGAUGAUGAGUAUUGUUCAUUUACUUGAGCGUGAGGCAGAUUUGACGGCGAUUUGAUCGCCGGCAAAUUAUCGAUGAUCGCAAGCCCUUCGGGGUCGGGUAUGUGAACGAUCUGAGUGGU